rnacentral:tRNA from 1 species
GGGCGAGUGGCGGAACGGUAGACGCGCUGGCUUCAGGUGCCAGUAUUCGAAAGGAUGUAGGGGUUCAAGUCCCCUCUCGCCCAC